rnacentral:rRNA from 1 species
AGUGAGCACUGGCGGCGUGCUUAACACAUGCAAGUCGAACGAGAACGGAAUAUAGCUUGCUAUAUUUGUCAGCUAAGUGGCGCACGGGUGAGUAAUGUAUAGAUAACCUGCCCUUAAGAAAGGAAUAACAGUUGGAAACGACUGCUAAUGCCCUAUAUGCCUUUAAUACAUAAGUAUGCAAGGGAAACGCUUUAGUGCUUAAGGAUGGGUCUGUAUGGUAUCAGCUUGUUGGUGAGGUAAUGGCUCACCAACGCUAUGACGCGUAACGGGUUUGAGAGGACGAUCAGCCACACUGGAACUGAGACACGGUCCAGACUCCUACGGGAGGCAGCAGUGGGGAAUAUUGCGCAAUGGGCGAAAGUUUGAUGCAGCAACGCCGCGUGGAGGAUGAAACAUUUCGGUGCGUAAACUCCUUUUAUAUAGGAAGAUAAUGACGGUACUAUAUGAAUAAGCACCGGCUAACUCCGUGCCAGCCGCCGCCGUAA